CCGUGCUAGGCGGGGAGCUAGCGGUGCCCUGUACCCGCAAGCCGCUAUAGCGGGGUUGAAUUCCCACUCGAGGUCUCGAGCUUUGUGGGACUGUCUUCGUUAAGUGGUGUUGAAGGCCGGGUCCUGCGCAGCGGAGCGCCAUGAACCCCGUCAGGUUCGGAAGAAAGCAGCGGUAAAUGGAAGCUUCCGGGUGCCGCAAGAACGCCUGGUUGGAGUUGGCUGACAGGGACAAGCCAGAGAGCGGGAUCGACAGUGGGUGCGCGG
rnacentral:SRP_RNA from 1 species